rnacentral:tRNA from 1 species
GGGGUUGUGGCUCAGUGGCAGAGCGCUUGCCUAGCAUUCGUGAGGCCCUGAGUUCAAUCCCUAGCACCCCA